rnacentral:rRNA from 1 species
AGUGGGGAAUUUUGGACAAUGGGCGCAAGCCUGAUCCAGCCAUGCCGCGUGAGUGAAGAAGGCCUUCGGGUUGUAAAGCUCUUUCGGUGAAGACGAAACGGUUAGCGUUAAUAGCGCUGACUAAUGACGGUACUCACAGAAGAAGCACCGGCUAACUACGUGCCAGCAGCCGCGGUAAUACGUAGGGUGCAGGCGUUAAUCGGAAUUACUGGGCGUAAAGCGUGCGCAGGCGGUUUGCUAAGACAGGUGUGAAAUCCCCGGGCUUAACCUGGGAAUUGCGCUUGUAACUGGCAGGCUAGAGUGUGGCAGAGGGGGGUGGAAUUCCACGUGUAGCAGUGAAAUGCGUAGAUAUGUGGAGGAACACCGAUGGCGAAGGCAGCCCCCUGGGUUAACACUGACGCUCAGGCACGAAAGCGUGGGGAGCAAA